rnacentral:rRNA from 1 species
AGCUCCAAUAGCGUAUAUUAAAGUUGUUGUGGUUGAAAAGCUCGUAGUUGGAUCUCAACAGACCCGGGUCGGUUUACUUUGUGUAAUACUGAUCCGGUACUGUGCUUUUGCUGGAGGUUCAGGGGUGCUCUUAACCGAGUGUCUCUGAGUGCCAGCAGGUUUACUUUGAAGAAAAUUGGUUGCUCAAGGAAGGCUGUUAUGCCUGAAAAUUUGUGCAUGGAAUAAUAGAAUAGGAUGUUGAUCUUAUUUUGUUGGUUUUCAAGACUCGACAUAAUGAUUAAUAGGGACAGUCGGGGGCAUUUGUAUUCAAACGACAGAGGUGAAAUUCUUGGACCGUUUGAAGACAAACUACUGCGAAAGCAUUUGCCAAGAAUGUUUUCA